CUGCUGAGGAGUCCCACAAUAGGACGAAACGGCUGUCUAG
rnacentral:hammerhead_ribozyme from 1 species